rnacentral:rRNA from 1 species
AGCGUACACGGUGGAUGCCCUGGCAGUCAGAGGCGAUGAAGGACGUGCUAAUCUGCGAUAAGCGUCGGUAAGGUGAUAUGAACCGUUAUAACCGGCGAUUUCCGAAUGGGGAAACCCAGUGUGAUUCGUCACACUAUCAUUACGUGAAUACAUAGCGUAAUGAAGCGAACCGGGGGAACUGAAACAUCUAAGUACCCCGAGGAAAAGAAAUCAACCGAGAUUCCCCCAGUAGCGGCGAGCGAACGGGGAGCAGCCCAGAGUCUGAAUCAGCUUGUGUGUUAGUGGAACGGUCUGGAAAGUCCGACGGUACAGGGUGAUAGUCCCGUACACCAAAAUGCACAGGUUGUGAACUCGAAGAGUAGGGCGGGACACGUGGUAUCCUGUCUGAAUAUGGGGGGACCAUCCUCCAAGGCUAAAUACUCCUGACUGACCGAUAGUGAACCAGUACCGUGAGGGAAAGGCGAAAAGAACCCCGGCGAGGGGAGUGAAAAAGAACCUGAAACCGUGUACGUACAAGCAGUGGGAGCAUCCUUUUGGGUGUGACUGCGUACCUUUUGUAUAAUGGGUCAGCGACUUAUAUUCUGUAGCAAGGUUAACCGUAUAGGGGAGCCGAAGGGAAACCGAGUCUUAACUGGGCGUUAAGUUGCAGGGUAUAGACCCGAAACCCGGUGAUCUAGCCAUGGGCAGGUUGAAGGUUGGGUAACACUAACUGGAGGACCGAACCGACUAAUGUUGAAAAAUUAGCGGAUGACUUGUGGCUGGGGGUGAAAGGCCAAUCAAACCGGGAGAUAGCUGGUUCUCCCCGAAAGCUAUUUAGGUAGCGCCUCGUGAACUCAUCUUCGGGGGUAGAGCACUGUUUCGGCUAGGGGGUCAUCCCGACUUACCAACCCGAUGCAAACUGCGAAUACCGAAGAAUGUUAUCACGGGAGACACACGGCGGGUGCUAACGUCCGUCGUGAAGAGGGAAACAACCCAGACCGCCAGCUAAGGUCCCAAAGUCAUGGUUAAGUGGGAAACGAUGUGGGAAGGCACAGACAGCCAGGAUGUUGGCUUAGAAGCAGCCAUCAUUUAAAGAAAGCGUAAUAGCUCACUGGUCGAGUCGGCCUGCGCGGAAGAUGUAACGGGGCUAAACCAUGCACCGAAGCUGCGGCAGCGACACUAUGUGUUGUUGGGUAGGGGAGCGUUCUGUAAGCCGUUGAAGGUGUAUCGUGAGGUAUGCUGGAGGUAUCAGAAGUGCGAAUGCUGACAUAAGUAACGAUAAUGCGGGUGAAAAACCCGCACGCCGGAAGACCAAGGGUUCCUGUCCAACGUUAAUCGGGGCAGGGUGAGUCGACCCCUAAGGCGAGGCCGAAAGGCGUAGUCGAUGGGAAACAGGUUAAUAUUCCUGUACUUGGUGUUACUGCGAAGGGGGGACGGAGAAGGCUAUGUUAGCCGGGCGACGGUUGUCCCGGUUUAAGCAUGUAGGCGGAGGUUCCAGGUAAAUCCGGUACCUUUUUAACGCUGAGGUGUGAUGACGAGGCACUACGGUGCUGAAGUAACAAAUGCCCUGCUUCCAGGAAAAGCCUCUAAGCAUCAGGUAACACGAAAUCGUACCCCAAACCGACACAGGUGGUCAGGUAGAGAAUACCAAGGCGCUUGAGAGAACUCGGGUGAAGGAACUAGGCAAAAUGGUGCCGUAACUUCGGGAGAAGGCACGCUGAUAUGUAGGUGAAGUGAUUUACUCAUGGAGCUGAAAUCAGUCGAAGAUACCAGCUGGCUGCAACUGUUUAUUAAAAACACAGCACUGUGCAAACACGAAAGUGGACGUAUACGGUGUGACGCCUGCCCGGUGCCGGAAGGUUAAUUGAUGGGGUUAUCCGUAAGGAGAAGCUCUUGAUCGAAGCCCCGGUAAACGGCGGCCGUAACUAUAACGGUCCUAAGGUAGCGAAAUUCCUUGUCGGGUAAGUUCCGACCUGCACGAAUGGCGUAAUGAUGGCCAGGCUGUCUCCACCCGAGACUCAGUGAAAUUGAACUCGCUGUGAAGAUGCAGUGUACCCGCGGCAAGACGGAAAGACCCCGUGAACCUUUACUAUAGCUUGACACUGAACACUGGUCCUUGAUGUGUAGGAUAGGUGGGAGGCUUUGAAGUGUGGACGCCAGUCUGCAUGGAGCCAUCCUUGAAAUACCACCCUUUAAUGGCUGGUGUUCUAACGUGGACCCGUAAUCCGGGUUGCGGACAGUGUCUGGUGGGUAGUUUGACUGGGGCGGUCUCCUCCUAAAGAGUAACGGAGGAGCACGAAGGUUAGCUAAUCCUGGUCGGACAUCAGGAGGUUAGUGCAAAGGCAUAAGCUAGCUUGACUGCGAGAGUGACGGCUCGAGCAGGUGCGAAAGCAGGUCUUAGUGAUCCGGUGGUUCUGAAUGGAAGGGCCAUCGCUCAACGGAUAAAAGGUACUCCGGGGAUAACAGGCUGAUACCGCCCAAGAGUUCAUAUCGACGGCGGUGUUUGGCACCUCGAUGUCGGCUCAUCACAUCCUGGGGCUGAAGUAGGUCCCAAGGGUAUGGCUGUUCGCCAUUUAAAGUGGUACGCGAGCUGGGUUUAGAACGUCGUGAGACAGUUCGGUCCCUAUCUGCCGUGGGCGCUGGAGAAUUGAGGGGGGCUGCUCCUAGUACGAGAGGACCGGAGUGGACGCAUCACUGGUGUUCGGGUUGUCAUGCCAAUGGCAUUGCCCGGUAGCUAAAUGCGGAAGAGAUAAGUGCUGAAAGCAUCUAAGCACGAAACUUGCCCCGAGAUGAGUUCU